rnacentral:ncRNA from 2 species
UUAUGUGUGAAGGAGUGGUUUUCUAAAAUGGUGGAAACAAGGAAACACUUAUAUUAGCAAAAACCAUUA